GAGAAAAGCAUGGAGCACUUUAAUUGAGUUUGUCUACUCUACAUGCAAAUUCCAUCGCGCAAUGGAUAAUCCCCUAACUAAGAGAGAAUUUGAACAUUUCUUGCGUCUGGAGGUAUUCAGCAGUUUAGAAAGUAAGAAGCCACAAUUCUGUAUUCAUACAAUCAGAUAUCUAUGUAUAUAUUGUUUAAGGAACAUAAUGUAUUUUUUUAUAGACCAUAUGUGUGGUUAGUUGGGUUGUGAGUGAGGCAAAACAUAUUUCUGUUGGGUGUAAUGCAAAAAAUGGUUGUAUUCUCCUUCAGUUAGCACUCAACUUGGGAUUCCAUUUGUCACUUAUUACACUGACUAUAUUGUGUACCCUGGGGAAAAUGUCAUUUUGCUUCAGUUACUUAUAGACCUUUUAUAUUUAACCCCUAUUGAUACUCGAGAGAGAGUUCAGAGAAGGGCUACUAAACUGGUUAAUUGAUUGCAGUGUAAAACUUACCAGGAAAGGUUAAAGGAUCUUAACAUGUAUAGCUUGGAGGAAAGAUGAGACAGGGGGGGAUAUGAUAGAAACAUUUAAAUACAUAAAGGGAAUCAACACAAUAAAGGAUGAGACUAUAUUUAAAAGAAGAAAAACUACCACAACAAGAGGACAUAGUCUUAAAUUAAAGGGGCAAAUGUUUAAAUAUAAUGUUAGGAAGUAUUACUUUACUGAGAGGGUAGUGGAUGCAUGGAAUAGCCUUCCAGCUGAAGUGGUAGAGGUUAACACAGUAAAGAAGUUUAAGAAUGCGUGGGAUAGGCAUAAGGCUAUCCUAACUAUAAGAUAAGGCCAGAGACUAAUGAAAGUAUUUAGAAAAUUGGGCAGACUAGAUGGGCCGAAUGGUUCUUUUCUGCCGUCACAUUCUAUGUUUCUAUGUUUUAUUUUCUAUGAGUACGGUUGCCAAAACGUAAUUUUUUCCUAGACACAUACUUCUUGAAAUGUAAUGGCGUGUAGUUUGUAGCAUUUAUAUGCAAUUAGUCAAGGAAGCACCUUUGGGUUUUCUGAAAUGACUUAUAUAGUAUUGUAACUCUGCUUACUGAAGGGCAGUGCUUUCUAUGUACUGCUUAUCAGCAAGUAGAAGUGAUUUGUCUUGUAAAAAUGGUUGUUCUGGCAAACCUAUAUGGCACGCUUACAUUUUUACUUUUACAACUUUGAGAUAACUACUCAGUAAUCUGCAUGCAGGGUAGCUACUGCUUACUGCAAACUAUAAAGAUAAUGGAAAUUAGCACAGCGUCUCAGAUCAAGGUAUAAUUAACAUCUGGAAUUCCAGCUCCUUUGGACUACUGUGAUUAUAGAUAUUGCUUAUUUGUAUGUUAGUGUCAAAAAACUCUUCUGUCACUUACCUGAUUCCAGCACCAAUGUCCCUUAGAACCAGUUCAGGCUCCGCCUUCACUCCUCCCCCUUCAACAUCAGUCGGUGGAGGGACCUAAUGCACACGCAUGCCAUGGUCACAUAAGGACUUCCCCCAUAGGAAUGCAUUAUACAAUGCUUUCCUAUGGGGCUUUGGGUGACGCUGAAUGUCCUCAUGCAUAACGUGAGGACAUCCAUCGUCAGGCAACCAAAACUCGCCUAAAGACCCGGAAGUCCCAAGCAGACAGCCACUAGAGGUGGCAGGCUAUUAUUUCACUUUAUUAAAAAAGGUUAAGACACCUGGGAUACUGCACCCAGACCACUUUAAUGCGCUGAAGUGGUCUGGAUGCCUAUAGUGUCUAUUUAAGUUACUAAAAAGGCAGUGGAAAUUCUGGCAAUGUAAACUGUUUUUGUUUCAAUUUUAUCACAGUCUUCUACACAUCAUAGUUAUAUUCAUUCACAGAUGUUCCAGUUGUGACUGCGCCAUCCGUUAAAGUUCCUGCUAAAACUGCAAGUGCACAACAUUCCAAAUUUCGUGUUGCAGAUGAAUCUGAAAAUUUCCCGCCAAUACGUUGUGUUGUGAUUAAUCAAUCCAUCCUGGUCAAUUACUUGAUUAAUGAUCUUUCCUUCUAUGUGGAAACCAGAAAGUAUGUGAAUUAGACAUUUCAUUGAGAAUUAGUUUUUUGUUUAAAUGGG
rnacentral:lncRNA from 1 species